CAGGAGCUCCCGGCUGCAGCGGGAGGCGGUCGCCGGGCCGGAAGCUGUUGCGCAGCAGCCACCUAACCCUGCUCCCCGCCCCGCCCCGCCCCGGCCCGGGGUUAGCGGCCGGCGGAGCGGCCGGGGAAGCUCCCUCAUGGGGGAUUCAUUGUCAGUGUUAGUUUAUUGGUCGCCCAGCGCCCAGACGCGUGUGAGGCCCCCACGGGCCCCGCAGCGUUGAUUGACCUGAUUUCCAGAGGUGAAGCUGCACGGCUCCCAGGGGACCGGAAGGUGCCCGCACCUGUGGAAAGCAGGCCGCUGCAGUGUCCCGAUGAGCAGAGGGGAAGGGGUGCAGUGUGUAAAUGCAGUGAGUCAGGAGAGGUGUGAAACCUGGGUCGCGCCUGCUGCUCAUUUCCCCCUUCUCUCAGCUGUUUUUCUUUCCGAUCCUCAUCCACAGCUCCUUUCUCUCUCUUCCUUUCCCCCAGCCUGGACUGAGGCUGCAAUCCUGAAAAGGAUCACCUAGCUUCAAUAGGGUUAGUCAUAUGUUGAGUGUGUGGGAAAUCUUUAGAGGCUGUGGGCCUACCCAUGGGUCAGGUUACUUGUGGUCCACGUGUAUGUCAGAUACACAAACUUUUGCAAAACCUUAGCCCUGCCACAGAGAUGUUUCCAUGAUUGUUUUAAUUCUAAUGGAAACACUUUUGAAGAAUUAAAAACACUAAAUAAUUUCCCUGCCCUGUGCAAAGUGUGAAACUGACUAGAAAGAAAAGUGAAAUCAACUGGUCUGUAUUCUCUGGCCAAUCUGAGAGAAAUGCUACUAGUAAGCAGCAUAGUAAAUGUAGAUUGUCUCAAUUAUUUCAGCUCUCAAUCAUGUAAUUUAGUAGCAUAUAUCAUUUAGAAAUAUGUAUAUGGCUUAAUUCAACUCUGGAUUACACUGACCUCUAAUGUUUUAAAAAUCAGCCUGAAGGGCAGUGACACAAAGCACCUGCAACCACCGUUCCAGCAGGAGGGCCACAGCAAGUCAGUGCAGUCCCAAAUGCAGUAGAGGGACAGGGGAGAGGAUAUGGUGAAGGCAACCAGGGAUACACAGGUUGAACACAUGCCCCAGAAAGGCUGUCUAAGGCAUCUGGAUGGGAGUUCACCUGGGAAUCCAAAAUACUAGUUAGGCCUGGAACUGUUUAGUUUCUGACAUCAGACAACAUUGAGUGCAAUCAGUGUAGUGAACACAUGCCUGGGCCUCUGAUGGUGGCUGCAGUUUAGAACUGCCCUCCAAAAGCAGAGCUUUAAGGGGCACAGGGGUCACAGAGCAACCUCACACUUCAGGAGAAGCUCCUGCAGCUUCUGUUUCAUGGAACUAGGCCCAGCUCCAGGUAUUGUGACCUUGCCCAUGGAGUCACAGUGGUGUUCAGGUUUGGCCCAGGCUCCUCUCCUUCAUCAGGAAUGAGGGGCAGCUGGGCCAAAUUUGAGUGAAGGGCACCGCAGCUCCAUAUGCCAGGUUGCAGCACUCAAAUUUGGCCUGGCUGCCCCAUCCACCUCAGUGGGAACAGACCCAACCUUAGGAGCAUUGUCACCCUGUGUAUGAGAUUACAAUGCCCAGAGAGAGAGAGUCAGUCCUAGCCCCACAGGCUACAAGCUAUCACUGUGAGGUGAAUUUUUUCAUUUUAUGGGUUUUUUUUAAUGUUCUUUUUCAUUCUCUGUUGUUUUACAUUUGUGAAAAACACAGGGCUCUACCACUAGCAGUGCUUCCAUCAUAUAUGGGGCAGGAAAGAGACUGAAGUCCAGAUCCUCAAAAGUAUGUAUGCUCCUAACUUCCACUGAAAUUAAUGGAAGUUAGGAGCCUACAUAUCUUUGAAGAUCUGGGCCUGAGCUGCUUAUCCCAUCCCAACCAUUAGUUUGGUCACAUGUGAAAUGAAAGACACCACCUCUCCUGUAGCAGCACUUCCUCAGGUCCGUCUGGUGAAUUGCUUCAGUGGAUGGCCAAUCUGGUCAGGCAAGAAGCAGCGUGCAAUUGGUCUGGAUACUAAUACAGACAAAAUGAAGUCCCUUACCAUUACCAUCAAGCAGCCUCCAGGCUCCAGAUUACAACUGCUCAGUGUUAACCUGUCCAGAUGGGAUAUGAAGCAGCUGGCAACUGUCAAACACUUUGGAAGCUCGAUAGACUGUGUUGGUGGAGGAAGUUUUUUGAAAGAUGUGGAUGUUCAUAUAGAAGCAGCUACUGGCAUGGUCCAAGCCCUUCAGCAGCCUCUGAGAAGAUGUCUGGACAUCAAGUUUACUUCAGAGCUGUGGCCCUGAUAGGUUGCUCUAGAAAUUCUGUAGAAAGGUUCUAAUUCUCUAUUGAAUUCUUGAAAACUUUUCUGUGAGAGACCUCUUGUAUCACUACUGAGGCCUAUCUCACAAAUUACCCUAAUUGUUGUCUGUAGCAUUGACCAUAUUGCAACCCAUCAUUCCUCUUAUUGAACAGAAAAGGAACUGCAAAUGAAAUAUACAAAUAAAAAAGCAGUGUGGUAAAUGAUGUAAAUAAUGUGUGUUUUGGUUCAUGAGGAGCUCAUCAACCAUUCCCUAAAGUGAUUUUGGCUGCCCCUUGCAGCUGUGUUAGUCUCUGAGAUUCUUAAAAUUGCACCAAGACAAAAUUGAAGCCCUUGUAUGUGAGCAUGGAAAGUUCCCAUUAAAAUCAAUGAGCAAACAGUCAUCUUUUCUAUGGCUGCUUCUGGGAACAGGAAACCACACAAGUCCUCACUGAUCUCUGACUAUCCAGUGUACAAUAUUCCAUUUUAACUCAGUCUGCAAGAUAAGCUAGAGAAAAUUGAAUGUAGUGCACAUACAAUAAUGCUGUUCUGCAAACAGAGUUGAGAAAACAAAUGUUCAUAAUCCUCCACAGAUUAUAUGCUCUUUCCAUGGGCAAAGUCCAAGUAAACGGGUGUGAGUGGUUGUGUCGCUUCUCAAGGUACACAGGCUGUGAGUCACUUUGUUGCUUCCUGCUUUUACAGCAUGAGUCUUGACUGUGCCAGCUAACUUGUGUCAACUCCCUAACAUAACCACCCUAUCAGCACUCAAGCACUCUCCUCUCGGUUAUGCCAGCCUUACCUUUGCUCCUGCAGGUUGAUAUAAUCGAGUCCUCAGAGGGCCAGGUGGCCUAGUGGGUAGCACACCCAGUUUCCUGCCUUGCCUCCCAGCAGGAAGGCUUUUCAGUCCAGUUCCUAACCCUUGUAUGGGGCUUAGCUUCACCUCAGGGUUUUCAAUGUCCUUGUCCUCUCCUUACUAUUAGGAAAGUGGAAUGGAAAUGAGACUUAUGCCUCUCCAGUUGACAGUAGAUGCAUCCCAACCCUUGGGUCCCUUGAAAGUGUCCCUGGAUGGUAUCCAGCCCCGAUCACGGGGUACCCACAGAUAUCCCAGAUCCUCCAUUUUCAAAAGAACUGUGUACGCCAAUUUAUUAGAUUUUACUUUACACAUCACUACACUAGAGUUCAAUUAUAGUGUUAAAAAAAAAUA